rnacentral:misc_RNA from 1 species
GAAAUGCGAUAAGUAAUGUGAAUUGCAGAAUUCAGUGAAUCAUCGAAUCUUUGAACGCACAUUGCGCCCGCCAGUAUUCUGGCGGGCAUGCCUGUUCGAGCGUCAUUUCAACCAUCAAGCCCCCCGGCUUGUGUUGGGGACCUGCGGCUGCCGCAGGCCCUGAAAAGCAGUGGCGGGCUCGCUGUCACACCGAGCGUAGUAGCAUACAUCUCGCUCUGGGCGUGCUGCGGGUUCCGGCCGUUAAACCACCUUCGUAACCCAAGGUUGACCUCGGAUCAGGUAGGAAGGCCCGCUAAACUUAGGC